GGGCGGGCUUGGCGGCGAAAGGCGCUUCCUCAGCCCGCGCGGGAGACCCAGAAGUAGUACUGAGGUAGCGCUCGUCCUCCCGCCGGUCCACCACCACCGAGUGUAGCCCGGGCCCGGCCUAUUUCAUCAGACACAACCCCAGAGCCGGGAGCCACCCCUACCCCGGGAGCCCUUCGCCAAGCACGCAGCUCCAGACCAGAAGCAGUCGCUCCGACCCAGAGCUCCGGGUGGGGCAGAAGAAUCUUUUCUUGCUGCUCUCCUAGGAUCUACCAACCAGAGAUUCUAAUGUGAUACGUUUGGAAUGGAGUUAUCGAUCUGCAUUUUUAAUAGGCAUUCCUCCAGAGAUGGCCUGGAUUCUGCCAUGUAAAUCAAAGAAGAGAGGGCCUAACUCAGCUGCCUAGCCUGGAUCACCUGGAACCCAUUAGGAUACAGGAUCAUAAACACCUCUAUUUUCCCUUCAGAGAGAGACCAGAACCACUGGAGUUAAGCUACCUGCAUAAGAGUUGAGUGCGAUCAGCUGUACUUAAUCUUUAAAUGUCCAACCCACUGAUAACCUUUGGUUUGCUUUGAUAACUAUGAAAUAAAUUCUCACUGCA
rnacentral:lncRNA from 10 species